rnacentral:rRNA from 1 species
CGAAAGCCUGACGGAGCAAUACCGCGUGAGGGAGGAAGGCUCUUGGGUCGUAAACCUCUUUUCUCAGGGAAGAAUAAAUGACGGUACCUGAGGAAUCAGCAUCGGCUAACUCCGUGCCAGCAGCCGCGGUAAUACGGAGGAUGCAAGCGUUAUCCGGAAUGAUUGGGCGUAAAGCGUCCGCAGGUGGCAUUGAAAGUCUGCUGUCAAAGAGUCUGGCUCAACCAGAUAAAGGCAGUGGAAACUACAAAGCUAGAGUGCGUUUGGGGCAGAGGGAAUUCCUGGUGUAGCGGUGAAAUGCGUAGAGAUCAGGAAGAACACCGGUGGCGAAAGCGCUCUGCUAGGCCGUAACUGACACUGAGGGACGAAAGCUAGGGGGGCGAAUGGGAUUAGAUACCCCAGUAGUCCUAGCCGUAAACGAUGGAUACUAGGUGUUGCUUGUAUCGACCCGAGCAGUACCGUAGCUAACGCGUUAAGUAUCCCGCCUGGGGAGUACGCAGGCAACUGUGAAACUCAAAGGAAUUGACGGGGGCCCGCACAAGCGGUGGAGUAUGUGGUUUAAUUCGAUGCAACGCGAAGAACCUUACCAGGGCUUGACAUGUCGCGAAUCUCAGGGAAACUUGAGAGUGCCUUCGGGAGCGCGAACACAGGUGGUGCAUGGCUGUUGUCAGCUCGUGUCGUGAGAUGUUGGGUCAAGUCCCGCAACGAGCGCAACCCUCGUUUUUAGUUGCCAUCAUUAAGUUGGGCACUCUAGAGAGACUGCCGGUGACAAACCGGAGGAAGGUGGGGAUGACGUCAAGUCAGCAUGCCCCUUACGUCCUGGGCUACACACGUACUACAAUGCUACGAACAGAGGGCAGCAAGCUAGCGAUAGCAAGCUAAUCCCGGAAAUCGUAGCUCAGUUCAGAUCGCAGGCUGCAACUCGCCUGCGUGAAGUUGGAAUCGCUAGUAAUUGCAGGUCAGCAUACUGCAGUGAAUUCGUUCCCGGGCCUUGUACACACCGCCCGUCACACCAUGGAAGCUGGUAGUGCCCGAAGUCAUUACCCCAACUUCCGAGAGGGGGAUGCCUAAGGCAGGA